rnacentral:rRNA from 1 species
AUUGAACGCUGGCGGCAGGCCUAACACAUGCAAGUCGAGCGGUAGAGAGAAGCUUGCUUCUCUUGAGAGCGGCGGACGGGUGAGUAAUACCUAGGAAUCUGCCUGGUAGUGGGGGAUAACGUCCGGAAACGGACGCUAAUACCGCAUACGUCCUACGGGAGAAAGCAGGGGACCUUCGGGCCUUGCGCUAUCAGAUGAGC